GGGGAGGAAAGAAUGGGAUUCAGUAUGUGUUGGAGAACUGCCAGAAUCAUUCCUGCUGGGCCGAUAUUGAUCCCUCAAGCAAAACCAUCAAGACAAGGAAAUGUUACUUUAUCCAACUCCCUUUUUGAAUGAUAUCAAAAGAAGAAGGUAUCUGAAAAGAAGAAUGUGCAAUGCAAUGGAGAGAAGGUGAAGGAGUGGACCAACAUGAAUUGUUCAUUUGUCGAGCCAAUGCAAUUACAAUGGGCUCUGUUGCCUCCUUCUGCACUGUAAUCAACCUGUGACUGUGUUUACACUGUACUUUAAAACAAUACAUUGCA